CAACAGGGAUUGCCUCAGUAACGGCGAGUGAAGCGGCAACAGCUCAAAUUUGAAAUCUGGCCUCGGCCCGAGUUGUAAUUUGUAGAGGAAGCUUUUGGUGCGGCACCGACCGAGUCCCCUGGAACGGGGCGCCAUAGAGGGUGAGAGCCCCGUAUGGUUGGACGCCUAUCCUCUGUAAAGCUCCUUCGACGAGUCGAGUAGUUUGGGAAUGCUGCUCAAAAUGGGAGGUAAAUUUCUUCUAAAGCUAAAUACCGGCCAGAGACCGAUAGCGCACAAGUAGAGUGAUCGAAAGAUGAAAAGCACUUUGAAAAGAGGGUUAAAUAGCACGUGAAAUUGUUGAAAGGGAAGCGCUUGUGACCAGACUUGCGCCUCGCCGAUCAUCCGGGGUUCUCCCCGGUGCACUCGGCGGGGCUCAGGCCAGCAUCGGUUUCCGCGGGGGGACAAAGGCCCCGGGAACGUAGCUCCUCCGGGAGUGUUAUAGCCCGGGGCGUAAUGCCCUCGCGGGGACCGAGGACCGCGCUUCGGCAAGGAUGCUGGCGUAAUGGUCAUCAGCGACCCGUCUUGAAACACGGACCAAGGAGUCAAGGUUUUGCGCGAGUGUCUGGGUGUAAAACCCGCACGCGUAAUGAAAGUGAACGUAGGUGAGAGCUUCGGCGCAUCAUCGACCGAUCCUGAUGUAUUCGGACGGAUUUGAGUAGGAGCGUUAAGCCUUGGACCCGAAAGAUGGUGAACUAUGCUUGGAUAGGGUGAAGCCAGAGGAAACUCUGGUGGAGGCUCGCAGCGGUUCUGACGUGCAAAUCGAUCGUCAAAUCUGAGCAUGGGGGCGAAAGACUAAUCGAACCAUCUAGUAGCUGGUUACCGCCGAAGUUUCCCUCAGGAUAGCAGUGUUGUUCUUCAGUUUUAUGAGGUAAAGCGAAUGAUUAGGGACUCGGGGGCGCUUUUUAGCCUUCAUCCAUUCUCAAACUUUAAAUAUGUAAGAAGCCCUUGUUACUUAAUUGAACGUGGGCAUUCGAAUGUACCAACACUAGUGGGCCAUUUUUGGUAAGCAGAACUGGCGAUGCGGGAUGAACCGAACGCGGGGUUAAGGUGCCGGAGUGGACGCUCAUCAGACACCACAAAAGGCGUUAGUACAUCUUGACAGCAGGACGGUGGCCAUGGAAGUCGGAAUCCGCUAAGGACUGUGUAACAACUCACCUGCCGAAUGUACUAGCCCUGAAAAUGGAUGGCGCUCAAGCGUCCCACCCAUACCCCGCCCUCAGGGUAGAAACGAUGCCCUGAGGAGUAGGCGGCCGUGGAGGUCAGUGACGAAGCCUAGGGCGUGAGCCCGGGUCGAA
rnacentral:rRNA from 1 species